CCUACGGGUGGCAGCAGUCGAGAAUCAUUCACAAUGGGGGAAACCCUGAUGGUGCGACGCCGCGUGGGGGCAUGAAGGUCUUCGGAGUGUAAACCCCUGUCAUGUGGGAGCAAAUUAAAAAGAUAGUACCACAAGAGGAAGAGACGGCUAACUCUGUGCCAGCAGCCGCGGUAAUACCGAGGUCUCAAGCGUUGUUCGGAAUCACUGGGCGUAAGGCGUGCGUAGGCUGUUUCGUAAGUCGUGUGUGAAAGGCGCGGGCUCAACCCGCGGACGGCACAUGAUACUGCGAGACUAGAGUAAUGGAGGGGGAACCGGAAUUCUCGGUGUAGCAGUGAAAUGCGUAGAUAUCGAGAGGAACACUCGUGGCGAAGGCGGGUUCCUGGACAUUAACUGACGCUGAGGCACGAAGGCCAGGGGAGCGAAAGGGAUUAGAUACCCGAGUAGUC
rnacentral:rRNA from 1 species